GAUGAAGAACGUAGCGAAAUGCGAUAAGUAAUGUGAAUUGCAGAAUUCAGUGAAUCAUCGAAUCUUUGAACGCACAUUGCGCCCACCAGUAUUCUGGCGGGCAUGCCUGUUCGAGCGUCAUUUCAACCAUCAAGCCCAGGCUUGUGUUGGGGGCCUGCAGCUGCUGCAGCCCCCUAAAAGCAGUGGCGGACUCGCUGUCAUACCGAGCGCAGUAGUUACAUCUCGCUCUGGGCAUGGCGGCGGGCACCUGCCGUAAAACACUCUUUCUAAGGUUGACCUCGGAUCAGGUAGGAAUACCCGCUGAACUUAAGCAUAUCAAUAAGCGGAGGA
rnacentral:misc_RNA from 1 species